rnacentral:misc_RNA from 1 species
GAAAUGCGAUAAUUAAUGUGAAUUGCAGAAUUCAGUGAAUCAUCGAGUCUUUGAACGCACAUUGCGCCCCCUGGUAUUCCGGGGGGCAUGCCUGUCCGAGCGUCCUUGCUGCCCUCAAGCACGGCUUGUGUGUUGGGCUUCCGUCCCUGGCAACGGGGACGGGCCCAAAAGGCAGUGGCGGCACCAUGUCUGGUCCUCGAGCGUAUGGGGCUUUGUCACCCGCUCCCGUAGGUCCAGCUGGCAGCUAGCCUCGCAACCAAUCUUUUUAACCAGGUUGACCUCGGAUCAGGUAGGGAUACCCGCUGAACUUAAGC